CUGCACUGUCAAGUGACUGGACUACCCCUAUCAUGGUCUUCCAAUCUCAUUCCAGUGCCAGAUAGACCUCAGUUUGCAGAAGGGUGGGGUUAGAUGAAUGAUUUCCCCCUUUCGAAGGCUGAGAACAACC